UCCACGCAGUAAACGUUGAUCACUAGGUGAAGCGGGUAUUGACCCCUGCUGUGCCGCAGUUAACGCAUUAAGUGAUCCGCCUGGGGAGUACGGUCGCAAGAUUAAAACUCAAAGGAAUUGGACGGGGGCCCGCACAAGCGGUGGAGCAUGUGGUUUAAUUCAACGCAACGCGAAGAACCUUACCUGGAUUUGACAUCUCGGGAAUCCUAUCGAAAGACUGGAGUGCCCUUCCG
rnacentral:rRNA from 1 species